UGGGGAAUUUUGGACAAUGGGGGCAACCCUGAUCCAGCAAUGCCGCGUGUGUGAAGAAGGCCUUCGGGUUGUAAAGCACUUUUGUCCGGGAAGAAAUCGCACCUGAUAAUACCGGGUGUGGAUGACGGUACCGGAAGAAUAAGGACCGGCUAACUACGUGCCAGCAGCCGCGGUAAUACGUAGGGUCCAAGCGUUAAUCGGAAUUACUGGGCGUAAAGCGUGCGCAGGCGGUUGUGCAAGACCGAUGUGAAAUCCCCGGGCUUAACCUGGGAAUUGCAUUGGUGACUGCACGGCUAGAGUGUGUCAGAGGGGGGUAGAAUUCCACGUGUAGCAGUGAAAUGCGUAGAGAUGUGGAGGAAUACCGAUGGCGAAGGCAGCCCCCUGGGAUAACACUGACGCUCAUGCACGAAAGCGUGGGAGCAAACAGG
rnacentral:rRNA from 1 species